UACACUCCUGCGGGAGGCAGCAGUGAGGAAUAUUGGACAAUGGGUGGAAGCCUGAUCCAGCCAUCCCGCGUGCAGGAAGACGGCCCUAUGGGUUGUAAACUGCUUUUAUCUGGGGAUAAACCUACUUACGUGUAAGUAGCUGAAGGUACCAGAAGAAUAAGCACCGGCUAACUCCGUGCCAGCAGCCGCGGUAAUACGGAGGGUGCAAGCGUUAUCCGGAUUUAUUGGGUUUAAAGGGUCCGUAGGCGGACUGAUAAGUCAGUGGUGAAAUCCGACAGCUUAACUGUCGAACUGCCAUUGAUACUGUUAGUCUUGAGUAAGGUUGAAGUGGCUGGAAUAAGUAGUGUAGCGGUGAAAUGCAUAGAUAUUACUUAGAACACCAAUUGCGAAGGCAGGUCACUAAGUCUUAACUGACGCUGAUGGACGAAAGCGUGGGGAGCGAACAGGAUUAGAAACCCUAGUAGUCCCAU
rnacentral:rRNA from 1 species